GAGUUUGAUCCUGGCUCAGGACGAACGCGGGCGGCGUGCCUAACCCAUGCAAGUCGAACGAAGCCAUUAAUUUCGGUUAAGGGCUUAGUGGCGGACGGGUGAGUAACGCGUGAGGAACCUGCCUUACAGGGGGGGAUAAUGUCUGGAAACGGACACUAAUACCGCAUGAUAUUCCAGCAUCACAUGAUSCAGGGAUCAAAGGAGCAAUCCGCUGUAAGAUGGACUCGCGUCCGAUUAGCUAGAUGGUGAGAUAAAGGCCCACCAUGGCGACGAUCGGUAGCCGGACUGAGAGGUUGAACGGCCACAUUGGGACUGGGACACGGCCCAGACUCCUACGGGAGGCAGCAGUGGGGGAUAUUGCACAAUGGAGGAAACUCUGAUGCAGCAACGCCGCGUGAAGGAAGACGGUCUUCGGAUUGUAAACUUUUGUACUCAGGGACGAUAAUGACGGUACCUGAGCAGCAAGCUCCGGCUAACUACGUGCCAGCAGCCGCGGUAAUACGUAGGGAGCGAGCGUUGUCCGGAUUUACUGGGUGUAAAGGGUGCGUAGGCGGCAGGACAAGUCAGCUGUGAAAACUAUGGGCUUAACCCAUAGCCUGCAGUUGAAACUGUUCUGCUUGAGUGAAGU
rnacentral:rRNA from 1 species